UACGCAGGCGGCUAGGAAAGAAGGAUGUGAAAUCCCAGGGCUUAACCUUGGAACUGCAUUCUUAACUGCCUAGCUAGAGUAUGUCAGAGGGGGUAGAAUUCCACGUGUAGCAGUGAAAUGCGUAGAUAUGUGGAGGAAUACCGAUGGCGAAGGCAGCCCCCUGGGAUAAUACUGACGCUCAGGUACGAAAGCGUGGGGAGCAAACA
rnacentral:rRNA from 1 species